CCUACGGGAGGCAGCAGUGAGGAAUAUUGGUCAAUGGACGAGAGUCUGAACCAGCCAAGUAGCGUGAAGGAUGACUGCCCCAUGGGUUGUAAACUUCUUUUAUAUGGGAAUAAAAUGUUCCACGUGUGGGAUUCUGUAUGUACCAUAUGAAUAAGGAUCGGCUAACUCCGUGCCAGCAGCCGCGGUAAUACGGAGGAUCCGAGCGUUAUCCGGAUUUAUUGGGUUUAAAGGGAGCGUAGGUGGAUUGUUAAGGCAGUUGUGAAAGUUUGCGGCUCAACCGUAAAAUUGCAGUUGAAACUGGCAGUCUUGAGUACAGUAGAGGUGGGCGGAAUUCGUGGGGUAGCGGUGAAAUGCUUAGAUAUCACGAAGAACUCCGAUUGCGAAGGCAGUUCAAUGGACUGCAACUGACACUGAGGCUCGAAAGUGUGGGUAUCAAACAGGAUUAGAUACCCCGGUAGUC
rnacentral:rRNA from 1 species